rnacentral:rRNA from 1 species
CCUACGGGAGGCAGCAGUGGGGAAUAUUGGGCAAUGGGCGCAAGCCUGACCCAGCAACGCCGCGUGAAUGAUGAAGGCCUUCGGGUUGUAAACUUCUUUUAUCAGGGACGAAGCAAGUGACGGUACCUUAGGAAUAAGCCACGGCUAACUACGUGCCAGCAGCCGCGGUAAUACGUAGGUGGCAAGCGUUAUCCGGAUUGACUGGGUGUAAAGGGCGUGUAGGCGGGUGUGCAAGUCAGAUGUGAAAACUAUGGGCUCAACCCAUAAACUGCUUUUGAAACUGUACGUCUUGAGUGCAGGAGAGGCAAUCGGAAUUCCGUGUGUAGCGGUGAAAUGCGUAGAUAUAAGGAGGAACACCAGUGGCGAAGGCGGAUUGCUGGACAGUAACUGACGCUGAGGCGCGAAAGCGUGGGGAGCAAACAGGAUUAGAUACCCCAGUAGUC